AUUGAACGCUGGCGGCAUGCCUUACACAUGCAAGUCGAACGGCAGCGGACCUUCGGGUGCCGGCGAGUGGCGAACGGGUGAGUAAUAUAUCGGAACGUACCUUUCAGUGGGGGAUAACGUAGCGAAAGCUACGCUAAUACCGCAUAUUCUGUGAGCAGGAAAGCAGGGGAUCGCAAGACCUUGCGCUGAUUGAGCGGCCGAUAUCAGAUUAGCUAGUUGGUGAGGUAAAGGCUCACCAAGGCGACGAUCUGUAGCGGGUCUGAGAGGAUGAUCCGCCACACUGGAACUGAGACACGGUCCAGACUCCUACGGGAGGCAGCAGUGGGGAAUUUUGGACAAUGGGCGCAAGCCUGAUCCAGCCAUGCCGCGUGAGUGAAGAAGGCCUCGGUUGUAAG
rnacentral:rRNA from 1 species